CAGGAGGAAGCCGAAAAUCCUUGAUUAGAGUAGGCC
rnacentral:ncRNA from 1 species